rnacentral:tRNA from 8 species
GGAGGUAUACCCAAGUCUGGCUGAAGGGGUCGGUCUUGAAAACCGAGAGGCGGGUCAAACCGCGCGGGGGUUCGAAUCCCUCUACCUCCUCCA